UAACUCGGAUUUUCGCUAACUCGGAUCGGCCGCAGUCUCGAUUAAUCCGACUUAUCGAGGUUCCACUGUAUUCAAAUAUAUGGCCGGAGCAAAUUUACCUAUGCCCGUUUUCUGUAAGGUAUUAAAAUCUGGCCGCCGGAGCGAACUAGAAUAUGCCCAUGAGUAACUAUCUUAAAAAAUUUAAAUACAAUAAUUUAGGAUUUUUGUUGUUUUUUGUUGAAUUAAAGAUACCGUUUAAUAAUACUGACUAUUUAAAACAUCCUUAUAAAUAAAAUGAGAAUGGGUCACGCUUGACCCAUCUUCGUAAUCUAAGGCCCGGUCUUUUCACCUCCGAAUAAAUAUGCUCUUAUCUGGCAGUUAGCUAUCUGGAGGAUAAAUAUUUAUUCGCCAGAUAAAAUGUACCCGUCUUUUCACGUCAAUUUAUGUUCCAGUUAGUUAUCCGGUAGAUAAGCUUAAAAGUAAGUUUGGAUUCGGAACACACCUGAUUUUUGUGUUUAUUUUUAUAAUUUCAGCUUUAACUUAACCUAACAUAAUUAGAUUCACAUAAUCAAGACCAAGAUGAUUUUCUCGAUUUUAUUUCCAUUUUGGAAGAAGGAAAUAAAGAAAACAUUGAUUAUGGUGAAAAAGUUUACUGGAGAACUUGAACAAGAGGUAAAUAAAUUUUAAAUUAGUGGAAAACUGUUGAUUUUUAUGUAAAGAAGACAAAGACAAGUUUAAAUAAAGACAAGCUAGCUAAUGAAACAGAUGCAGUGUUACAGAUAUGACAAACAUCUAGAAGAUUCAAUCCUGCGUUCUUAAAGAAAAAAGCUAGUUCCAGUAGUAAGCUACCAAUAAAAAACUAGAGAAUGUAUUACAAGAAAGAACAACGCUAAUACUAAACAUACCUCAAUUGCUUCAGAUAGAAAAAGAGGACGAAAAGGUACAACACAAGCGUGCUAGAGAAAAUGAAAGGGCAGAAGAGAGACACAAAAAUUCAUUGAUUUAUUAAAUUUAAAAAUUAAAUUAUACAAAGGACAAUUAAAUAAAGAAUAAAAAAAUGAUA